GUCCCCGUGGUUGUCGUCGAGCCAGAGGGCUAUGUAGAAAGAAAAAAGACAAUUUAAUACAAGAUAUUAUUUCGAAUUAUAUCUGUAAAAACAAAGGAGACUGCCAUAUUACAGACCUGCUGGCCAGCAUUGUCUUGCUCACUCGGGUCCACCAAAUACUGUUAGCAGUCAUCGAUUCCCUCAGGGUUCUCAUCGCCUUCGCGAUCAUCGUGAUAAACUUGUUCAGUGGGACCGCAGAUCAGGUUCAUCAUUUCCUCUUCGUGUUCUCUCGGAUCGGCCAUUUUCUGCAGAAAUAUGUGACACAUCACU
rnacentral:lncRNA from 1 species